CGGCAACAGCUCAAAUUUGAAAUCUGGCUCCUUCGGGGCCCGAGUUGUAAUUUGCAGAGGAUGCUUCGGGUGCGGGUACCUACUGAGUUCCCUGGAACGGGACGCCAUAGAGGGUGAGAGCCCCGUCUGGUAGGACACCCAGCCCAUGUGAAGCUCCCUCGAC
rnacentral:rRNA from 1 species